rnacentral:lncRNA from 1 species
AAAAAAUAAUGAUAAUUUGAAAUAUUAAUUUCAAUUAAAUAAAAUAAAAAUAAAUAAAAAUAAAACUGAAAAGAACAUGUUGAGUUGGUGGCAAGUUGUGGUGGUAAUAUAAACUGUGGUGAUAUGAGGUGAAUGGCAAGUUGUGAUGAUCGUAACAAAAACUGGUGGCAUUAGCUAUACCCUUCCAUCCUAAUUGGUGAUGAUGGUCCAACUAGGAAUUUGAACCCGACCUGAGUAGCAUACUGUGUUAAUAUAUGGAUUAUAUACUGAAUUUUUCCCAGCUUUCUCGUGGGGUCGGGCAGGCGCACCGUUACACAUUGAGAGGUCGUAGAGCUACUUGACCAUGAAUGACGCCUCCUUUGAGAUCAGCUGAUCUUAUAACAAAAUCUCUAUAUGUAUCCAGGCUUGGGGUAAAGAAAAAGAGGUGUAAAGUAGGAUUCCUGACUAGAUUACAGCAAACAAAGAAUUGUAAUAAAAAUUGCCAUUGUAUCUCCCAUUCCUUAUUUUAUUCAAAUAGAAUUUUGCAGAAGAUAUACUUGUACUUCUCGUCAUCAUAAACAAUGCACAAAUAAUACAGAUUCUUAUCUUAGUUAUACAACGGUCCGUGUCCUUAUCGGUAUCUGCAAUGUAGGCUUGAACACACUAAAACAAAUCAAAUUUUGAAUGUAACUUGGCCAUCACUUAAAACGAAGAAAAAUGACGUUGCCAAAGACAGAACCCACCGACACAGGACAUUACAACCAACAAAAGAACCCCAUACACAAAAAGGACCUUGGUAAACUCACUGGCUAGCAUAUAAUUAAUACCAUGUUACAAAUAAUUGCUGCAGAAGCUAAAACAAUCCAGCAAGGCAAUUCUACUAAGUCUCUAUGUUUACUCUGUCCAAGCAAGCGAACCUGCCAGAAGUAACUGACUUGGUAGUGGUCCAGGACAUGGUGCCAUGUAUGUCACCUUUUUCCUGCAUAUCCAGAACGAUAAUCAAAAUUAGCUCGCAUAUAGCAGAUAUAUCUCUACUUACAUACUACUAAGAGAUAAAAACACUACAUCAAAAGUCAGAAUUUUCCAGAAAUCACCCCCUAAAGUGCCCCAUAAUUUUUGUAGGAGCUGUGGUUAUUAAUAGAUAAAAUAUCCGAGAUGCCUGUACUGGGCAAAACUGGAGCUAAGAGCCCAUUUUGGUUUUAUUUAAGACAAAUAGAGGAUCCUGUAAGGCCAAAAUGGAAAUUGGCAGAAUCAGAGAAGGUAUAACGGAUCUAUUUUCGAGACAAGCACAUCAAUCCCAAUCGAGACAGAGAUGGACGUUAGCAAAGAGGAUAAACAUCUACUGAACAUUGCAUUCCAAAAUGUAUGUAAUAAUUCAUCUCUUCAGAGAGUUCAAAUUUCCAUGACCACCCAGAUUCAUAAGCGAUGAAAGCCUGGAAAAUAGAAACUAAGGAGUGCAAGGGGCAAUACGACUACGACAUCGACAAUAGGAAAAAAUGAGAUCCUAACC